GUCAUGGAUCGUUCGUAGUUCAGAAUUAGGGCAUGCUGUCACAAUGGAAUUGUGAAGCUCUUCUAACUUCUGCAACGUUCUGAAAUCUUGUUAAGAACACCCAAACUCUUUUGCCUUUUCUUAAUCUUGGCAAGUUCAGAAUAAACUGAGAAUGAAACACAAUCAAACCAUACAACUCCAUAAGACAUAACAAGCAACUCCCCAGAGACAUCCAACAUUUUUGGAACAAAACGUAUAACAAAAUAGUAGCGUUGAUACUGUGAUGCAUGUGUAUUUGCAAAAAGCAAUAUUAUUUCCUUCAUUAAAGAAUAAUAUUCAUCCUGCUCUAACCGAGAAAUAAUCAACUCUGUUUUGAACCCAUGAAAAACAUAAAAAAAUUAGGCUAUUUAAGAAAAAUUUAAGCG